UUUGUGGAGAGUUUGAUCCUGGCUCAGGAUGAACGCUGGCGGCGUGCUUAACACAUGCAAGUCGAACGGAAAGGCCACAGCUUGCUGUGGUACUCGAGUGGCGAACGGGUGAGUAACACGUGGGUGAUCUGCCCUGUAC
rnacentral:rRNA from 1 species